CUUUUUUAUAAAACAUCUAGAAACAAACACGAACAACUGUGUGAUGGAAGAUGAUUGUCAAACUUAAUGGUCCACAGUGAUUUAUCGACCUUCUUAAAAACUGUCAAAAACGAGAAUGACACCC